rnacentral:lncRNA from 1 species
AGCAACCUUUCAGUAGACUGAGGCUUUUACACAUAUUUAGCCUUCAAAAUAACCCUAUAAGACACACAGUUAUUGUCCCCACUUUACAGAUGAGCAUAUUUAAGCUUGAAGGAACUAGCUCCAAUUGUUUUGACCUUUGAAUGCUCUCAGGUUUCUUUGUUAAGAUCUAUUUGGUUCUAUGGCCAUAGCAGAACAUUUAGGUUUGUUCAGUGGCUGGGAAUUGGUUCCCUCAAAUGUCACCAUGGAAGUUAUUCAGCUUAAGCUGACCCAGUCCCUCUCCCAUUCUGCUGACUAACAGCUGGUGGCUGGAGCUGCGGGGAGAAGAUAUUAUAUAAUGUCUACAAAAGUAACGAAAAGUUGAUUUAACUGCUAAGAUAAGCAACCAGCAAGAUAGAAUUUACACUGAUUUAAAAAUAUGUUUGCUGAGCAUAAUAUCUAGACUGCCCCCCACACCCUCUGUUCUUUAUUCCUGACUUCUGAUAGUGCUGUGGCAUGUGCUGUUGAGAAAUCAGAGGUCUCAAUGCCAUGAGAAUCAGACAAGAGGCAAUCUCCACACUGCAACCAUACACAGAAUUAGGUCAUUGAAUUCCAAGAGUAUUGGGUCCUUUGGAAGACAAACUCUGUUAUUCUUUUUUUUUUUUUUUCCUUUUUGAUAAAUGCCUACCUCCUUUUAAAAAUAUUUCCGACAGGAAAAUCAGACUUUUUCUUUUGAAUCAUUUCUCUGCAUCUGGGUUGGAUGUUGACUACUUCUUCUCUUUCCUCUGCUCUUUUUCUAUCCUUUUCGCUAUUUUUUUCAACCUUUUUCACAGUUGUUUCUAUUUCCUUCUUCUCCCCUCUCCUUAUAAUAGCUCCCACUGUGCACCAGGCAAAUCAGUAUGGUUGGGUCAAUAAGGGCAAAGACCUCUUUAGAGUGGUGGGGAGGCACCAACUUUGAAGUCUUUGGUAAAUGAAUAAAAACCCCCUGAAAGUUUUUGAAACCUAAGCUGGGUACAACAGGGUACAAAUAGAAAUAAUUUUUCCCCUCACAAUUUUCAAAAACUUUCUAUCCUAACCAGCUAUCUGCCUUGUCCUACUGCUCAUGCACAUUUAAAUGUUAUUAUCACUUCAACUAACUGAUUUCAAUGAAACUCAAAAUACAUGUUAAUUUAACAAACAUUGAUUAAUCAUGUUUUAUGGGUCAGGUUGUAUAUUAUGGGCUGUGAGAGGUAGCAGGAUGAAUAUGUUGUAACCUCUGCCUUGUAGGAACUUUACACUUUGGUGGGGAAAAUGAGUAAAUAGACAUCCAGUUGUCACUAUAGGUUGAAGUAUUCAUUAUCAAUUGCUGUAGAACAAAUCACCCCAAAAACUUUGUGGCUUAAGAUAACACACAUUUAUCAUCACACAGUUUCUGCAAGUCAGGAAUCCAGAUAUGGUUUUACUUAGUCUUCUCAUUUCAAGGUUUCUCAUAAGCCUGCAAUCAAGGUGUUAGUAUAAUAUCUGUGGUCUUAUCUGAAACCUCAACUAGAGAAAGGUUCACUUCUAACCUAACCCAUAUGAUUGUUGGGAGUAUUCAGUUACUUGACAAUUGUUGGAAGGAAGGUCUCAGUUUCUCACCAGCCAUUGACUGGAGGCCACCCUCAUUUCCUUGCCACAUGGGCCUCUCCAACACUGCAGCUUGCUUCUUCAAAGCAUACAAGCUGAGAAGGCAAUUGAGAGAGGCUGUGAACAAAACAAAAGUUACAGCUUUGUGUGAACUAAUUUUGGAAAUGACAGCUCAUCACUUGUGUGUAUUCAAUGGAUUAGAAGAAAACCACUAAGUCCAGCUCACAUUGAAGAAGAGAGUAUUCCAUCAGGGCUUGAAUACCAGGAGGGGAGAUGAUUAGGAGCUGUCUCAGAACUGCCUACCUAUAAGGUUUAAGAGAUUGUUAAACAGAGGCUCAAAAAGCUGUCGUUUGCUAGGCGCACUGGCUCAUGCCUGUAAUCCCAGGACUUUGGGAGGCCGACGUGGGCAGAUCACGAGGUCAAGAGAUCGAGACCAUCCUGGUCAACAUGGUGAAACCCUGUCUCUACUAAAAAUACAAAAAUUAGCUGGGCAUGAUGGUGUGUGCCCGUAGUCCCAGCAACUCAGGACGCUGAGGCAGGAGAAUCUCUUGAACCCAGGAGGCGGAGGUUGCAGUGAGCCAAGUUCGUGCCAUUGUAUUCUAGCCUGGCAACAGAGUGAGACUCCAUCUAAAAAAUAAAUAAGUAAAUAAAAAGAAGCUGUGAUUGCGUGAAAGCAGGGAGUGAUAAAGAAAUCUUAUUUUUAAAAGGAGAUUGUUUUACUCUGCUGAUACUAGACUUCUCUAGAAGGUUUGCAUCUACCCAGUGAUUUGUGGAAUAAUCCCAGACCUCCAGAAUUUGCGAUUGGAGUGUUGGUGGCUAACUACUUAAGGUAUUAUAUCUCUAGUCAUGAUGAAACAUGAAGCCGCAACAGUGUCCCCAAAGCCACAUUUAUGGUUGUUCUAUUCAGGCUUUGUCUCAAGGAAUUUUUUGUAAUCAAAAAGUCAUUCAGUUGUUUAUAGUUGUUAUUACAGUUGACCCUUAAACAAUGCAGGGACUAGGGGCCCCAACACCCCAUGCAGUCAAAAAUUGGCAUGUAACUUUUGACCCCCCAAAAACUUAACUACUAAUAGGCUACUGUCUUAUUGGUAACAGAAACAGUUGAUUAUACAAGUUUUGUACAUUAUAUGUAUUAUACACUGUAUUCUUACAAUAGACUUGAGAAAUGUUAUUAAGAAAAUCAUAAAGAAGAGAAAAUAUAUUUAUUAUUCAUUAAGUGGAAGCAGAACAUCAUUAAUGGUCUUCAUCCUUAUUGUCUUCACAUUGAGUAGGCUGAGGAGGAAGAGGAAGAGGAGGGGUUGGUCUUGCUGUCUCAAGAGUAGCAGAAGCAGAAGAAAAUCCAAGUUGGUCAAAGGAAGAGGAGGAUCAAUGGCCUUUUUUCCUCCCCCCAACCUUUUUUUUUUUUUUUUUUUUUAAACAAAGAAGCAAAGUGAGAACAUUAAGCCCGAAAGAGAACUGUGUUCAUUGCAGGACUUUUUGAGGUCUGGUUAAGCCAUUUAUAUAAAGAAAUUACACAGUUCCUCUUUGGUAACCUCAAUCCUGAAAGUUAGUGUGACAGGCCUACAGCUUUUUGUUCUCUUCAUCACUCCAGAAGUUGCAGACUGCGCUCAGCAAGACCUCACAACAUGGAGGAAAAUUAAAGAGAUAAGUGGUCCAUGGAGUAUCCCCUUACCCCACCAUAAAUUGGCAUAAUUUUGUGCACAAUCCAGGGAGAAGAAAAAGAAGACCAGAAGCUUGCAAACCAUUCGAGAGAAGGAAGGGAGCUUUGUCAUGUUGCCAUCUGAGGCAAGUAUACUUGGGAUGGGACAGGCAAGCUGAAUAGGAAUGAAAAAGAGCACUUGGUCAACAAACACACAAAUCUAUUAAGGUUUUUCAAGAAAGAGAGACAAAAUUCAGCAUGGUUCACCAAAAAGAAAAAGAAAAGAAAAAAAUUAUGUCCAGAACUCUCCCAAUUGUCCUGCUAAAUACACACACACACACACACACACACACACACACCAGCCUAUAAUCCCCCCUACCCCGCCCCCCACCUCAUGCCCCUAUCCUGUUGAUCUUUCCUCACUUAAAAAUUAUCAGAAAAGAAUUUAUUCAUUUGGGAGGAUUCCAGGCACUACAUUUAUGUUGCGUUCAGAUGAAAUGGGAUCCAGACUUUUCAAACCGUACUGUUUUACAGAUAAAACACAAAGGCAGAACUUCAUUAUCUGGAGACACUGCCCUUUCUUUUUUCUCCUGCCUUUUGUUUCUGAGCAAUUUUAAGCUUGUUUGGAAAGUAUCAUAACAGGGGCAGAGCGUUUUUUACCACAUCUAUUUCAGGAGGGUUUUUAAUACAGAAUAAUAAAAUUAUUGCUAAACAGAUGGAAGAGUUUUACUAAAGCUGGAAAAGACACUUUUGCUAAUACACCCUAUAGGCUGAUCUCAAUUCUCUCAUUGUUAAGAAUGCUUGGUCUAAGAGAGUCUUAUUUAUGUGCCAAAUGGCUUUAUUAAAUCAUUAUAUUAACACAGAAAAAGUCCUAUUACAAUGGCUGUCUCUGUAUGAUCAAAACUUGUCCGUGAUCCUGCUGAUAGCCUAUUUAUUCUGAAAUUUAAAAAGGUAACAUUCCAGUACAGCCUAAUGUUUGGCCAAGUUUUACAAAAUUCAUUAUAAUAUGGCUGGAAGGGUUACUAUGUCCUAGCCAGGGAAGGCCUAAGUUUUAUCAGGGCAGUAGUCCCCUGACAAAAAGAAAACUGUGAAAAAGAGACCUCUCAUCCACUCAUAGAAAUUAAUCCCUGGCAACAUUGUAAUGAUUUCACCUGUAGAAAUACAAUGGGUCUGUGAUUUCUACUUUGAUUAAUAAAAAAGCAAACAAAAACAAAAACGCAGGGUAAUCUCAGUGCUUUGGGAGGCUGAGGCAGGAGGAACACUUGAGGCCACAAGUUUGAGACCAGCCUGGGCAACAUAGCAAGACCCUGUCAAUACAAAAAAAUUAAAAACUUAGUUAGGCAUGGUAGCUUGUGCCUGUAAUUUCAGCCACUCAGGAGGCUGAGGUGGGAGGAUUGCUUGAACUUGAGAGUUUGAGGCUACAGUGAGCUAUGAUCAUGCCACUGCACUCCAGCCUGGGUGACAGAGCAAGACUCUGACCCCGACCUACAGCCCCCCGCCGACCAAAAAGAAUCCCAGUGGCAAAUUCAAAGGCAAAUUAAUUGCACUGGUGAACCAGGACUAUGGCAUGUGAAAAGAGUUUAAAAAGCCAGGAGAAGCAAAGUUUGUUGUAUACUGGAUUUUGAAACCGAAUAAACACAGACGCACACACAAUUUUUGAAUGUAAAAUUAAUACAUGUUGAUUGUAGAGAAAAAAAAUCACUCCUAAGCCUACCACUGAGAAAGCAUAUGUGUUUUGGCUGCCCAAGAUUGAUUUCUGCCUUCAUGUGGAAGUAAGCUUUAAAGGCUCUGUGUUAGGGCAUAGUCUAGAAACAUGGGGCCCAAGGGCACCGGGAAAACUUACAAAGGGAAGAGAUGGAACUGGGAGGGUUCAAGCUACCAGUUCCAUCUCUCCAUGUUUUAGAGAAUUGGGGCACUAAGUCAGCCAGGUAAGGUCAGGUCAGAGGAGGGCCCGGAUGAAGCAUGAGAUGCAGAGGGACAGUGCGUGAAUGGAGACCUUGGGUAGCACCAACGUGUAGCGGCAGAGGUGGGGUGGAUGUGGCUGAUGUCAGGGAGAGAAUGGGGAGCAUGCACAGGGCUCAGUCUUAUACAUACAUUGAAAAUCCUUUAGCCUUUCAAAGAUUAUUAACCCAAAUCACCUUUCUUGCUUACUCCAGAUGCCUCAGCCUCUGAUAUAAUUGCUAAGUAUCUGCCGUGUUAAAAAUAAACAUUUGAGAAUCAAGGGUGAUUUUUCUCUUUUCUUUUGAAUUGUAAUUGCGAUGUACUCAUGGCCUGCCAUGACGUGAGGUCUGGCUUAGAUUAGCCCCUGGCUGAGAGACCCAUGCUAAUUUAGUGCCUGCAAUUAUGCCUGCCUCUAAUCGUGUUCUGCUCUUUGUAGGAUGUACCCUUUGCAAUAGAAGCAACGGUUAUGCUGGGUCAUCUAUACUUUCUUGCCCCAGGCCGCUUGUGACACACAUUGGUGAGACAACUGGCCAGGAUUAGGGGUAUGAUCUGUGACCCUGAAACAGAGUGAAAUUGAUUGGCAAUGAGGGAUGAGGGGGGUGAUCCUAUUAAAAUUAUAAGCACCGUAAGUAUUCUAAUAUCUGACCCCUCACUGUAAUGGAUGUGCACCUACCUCCC